rnacentral:rRNA from 1 species
CCUACGGGCGGCAGCAGUGAGGAAUAUUGGUCAAUGGGCGGAAGCCUGAACCAGCCAAGUAGCGUGCAGGAUGACGGCCCUACGGGUUGUAAACUGCUUUUAUACGGGAAUAACGCGCCUUACGUGUAGGGCUUUGCAUGUACCGUAUGAAUAAGGCCUGGCUAAUUCUGUGACAGCAGCCGCGGUAAUAAGGAAGGUCAGGGCGUUAUCCGGAUUGAUUGGGUUGAAAGGGAGCGUAGGCGGCAUGUCAAGCGUGCUGUGAAAUUUCCGGGCUCAACCCGGGCCUUGCAGCGCAAACUGGCGUGCUUGAGUCCGCGGAAAGCAGGCGGAAUUCGUCGUGUAGCGGUGAAAUGCUUAGAUAUGACGAAGAACCCCGAUUGCGAAGGCAGCUUGCUGCAGCGGAACUGACGCUGAUGCUCGAAAGCGCGGGUAUCGAACAGGAUUAGAUACCCGGGUAGUC